CUGCUGAUGUUUUCUUCUAGAAGUUUCAUGGUUUCAGGUCUUACAUUCAGAGCAUGGAGACUGACAUCAGCAUCAUGGUGGAGUGUGCUUGCCUGGUGAACUCUCCCUUCCAGGAUACAACAAAAAGGACAUUCAUAUUCCAACAUAGGACAUCCACACAACACAAAAGAUGUCUGAGAGACCCAUGCAGCCAUACAUCAGAAAGUGGAGGUGCUGGAGCCCUCCCUUGGAGGAGGUGGAAAGAGGUAGUUUCUGCUUCUCCCUCACACCUACUGAAAGCCUCUGCUUCAAACUACAGAUGAGAGUUGGAAUCUUCUGGAAGGAAAUACUCAAUGAGCCCCCAAUGAAUAUAGUAAUGUCUUGAACUGUUGAAACUGUAGGGAAUGCCUUGGGACACAGGCUUCUCAGGAUCAUCUGCCACAAUUGCAUGAACACAAACAGCAGACCGAGACAUGAUUCCCUGGAUUUUAGUCCAAAUAUUAUAGUAUACUGCUCAAUCAAAAAAGACAUUUAAUUAGCUGAGACCAAAGACCAAGCAAGCUGAUUCAGUUGCAUUUAUUCUCUUAUGAGCUGGUGACUAGCCUUUUUCUUAAUCUUUAAUCCUUGGUUUAACUGGUUAUACUUGUAGAAAUUGGAAUAAAACAUCUCAAAAAACGGCUUCAUGUUCCAA